CAGGUAUACAUAAGAAAUUAAAAUUUGUAUUCGCUUCGAGUUUUAAAGUUUAUUCUGAACUUGGUCUUGGUUUAAAGUUUAUUCUGAACUUGGUCUUGGUUUAAUGUUUAUUCUGAACUUGGUGGGUUCUUUAACUUUCGGUAUAAUAUAUCAUUUAUAGACCCUCCGUUCGGGGGAUUCGUCAAAAUAUUAUCCUCAGUGAUGAUAUUUUCCUCGGGGCAAAGCCCUCGCGGAAAAUAUAAUCACUUCAGGUAAUAUUCCUCCGAAUAUCCCUCGCUCCGGGUGUAUAAAUGAUAAAAACUCUACGCGUGCAA